rnacentral:rRNA from 1 species
CAUGCCGUAAACGUUGGGCACUAGGUGUGGGUCUCAACCAACGAGAUCCGCGCCGUCGCUAACGCAUUAAGUGCCCCGCCUGGGGAGUACGGUCGCAAGACUAGAACUCAAAGGAAUUGACGGGGGCCCGCACAAGCAGCGGAGCGUGUUGCUUAAUUCGAUGCAACGCGAAGAACCUUACCAAGGUUUGACAUCGAUGGAAUGACGCUGAAAGGCGUCAGCUCUUCGGAGCCAGAAGACAGGUGGUGCAUGGCUGUCGUCAGCUCGUGUCGUGAGAUGUUGGGUUAAGUCCCGCAACGAGCGCAACCCUCGCCUUUAGUUGCCAUCACGUUUGGGUGGGCACUCUAAAGGAACUGCCGGUGACAAGCCG